GGGCAUGUGGUGGAAUUGGUAGACACGCAAGAUUUAGGAUCUUGUGCCUCACGGCGUGCGGGUUCGAGUCCCGCCUUGCCCA
rnacentral:tRNA from 1 species